rnacentral:rRNA from 1 species
GACAGAGGAUGCAAGCGUUAUCCGGAAUGAUUGGGCGUAAAGCGUCUGUAGGUGGCUUUCAAGUCCGCCGUCAAAUCCCAGGGCUCAACCCUGGACAGGCGGUGGAAACUACCAAGCUGGAGUACGGUAGGGCAGAGGGAAUUUCCGGUGGAGCGGUGAAAUGCAUUGAGAUCGGAAGAACACCAACGGCGAAAGCACUACUGCUGGGCCGACACUGACACUGAGAGACGAAAGCUAGGGAG